rnacentral:tRNA from 3 species
GGACCCAUAGCUCAAUUGGUAGAGCAUUCGACUCUUAAUCGACAGGUUGACGGUUCAAGUCCGUCUGGGUCCACCA